UCGUCAGCUCGUGUCGUGAGAUGUUGGGUUAAGUCCCGCAACGAGCGCAACCCUUAUUAUUAGUUGCCAGCAUUCAGUUGGGCACUCUAGUGAGACUGCCGGUGACAAACCGGAGGAAGGUGGGGAUGACGUCAAAUCAUCAUGCCCCUUAUGACCUGGGCUACACACGUGCUACAAUGGCAUAUACAACGAGUCGCCAACCCGCGAGGGUGCGCUAAUCUCUUAAAGUAUGUCUCAGUUCGGAUUGUAGG
rnacentral:rRNA from 1 species